ACGAAGAGACUUGGAAGCUUGCUUCUAAGAAUCUUAGUGGCGAACGGGUGAGUAACGCGUAAUCAACCUGCCCUUCAGAGGGGGACAACAGUUGGAAACGACUGCUAAUACCGCAUACGAUCCAAUCUCGGCAUCGAGGAUGGAUGAAAGGUGGCCUCUAUUUAUAAGCUAUCACUGAAGGAGGGGAUUGCGUCUGAUUAGCUAGUUGGAGGGGUAACGGCCCACCAAGGCAAUGAUCAGUAGCCGGUCUGAGAGGAUGAACGGCCACAUUGGGACUGAGACACGGCCCAGACUCCUACGGGAGGCAGCAGUGGGGAAUCUUCCGCAAUGGACGAAAGUCUGACGGAGCAACGCCGCGUGAGUGAUGACGGCCUUCGGGUUGUAAAGCUCUGUUAAUCGGGACGAAAGGCCUUCUUGCGAAUAGUUAGAAGGAUUGACGGUACCGGAAUAGAAAGCCACGGCUAACUACGUGCCAGC
rnacentral:rRNA from 1 species